rnacentral:rRNA from 1 species
CACCUCUAGCAUAAUAAGUAUUAGAGGCACCGCCUGCCCAGUGACUCACGUUAAACGGCCGCGGUAUCCUGACCGUGCAAAGGUAGCAUAAUCAUUUGUUUCUUAAUUAGGGACUUGUAUGAAUGGCAUCACGAGGGCUUAACUGUCUCUUAUAGCUAAUCCAUGAAAUUGACCUUUCCGUGAAGAGGCGGAAAUUUUAUAAUAAGACGAGAAGACCCUAUGGAGCUUAAAUAAAUUGCUCUUCUACUAACUCUCUACCCCUUAGGGGAUAAAUCAACAUGGACUAGAGCAAUAAAUUUUGGUUGGGGUGACCUCGGAGAAUAAAAAAUCCUCCGAAAGACUAAAAUUCAGACUAACCAGUCUAUAUUAAUUAACGUCAUAAUUGACCCAGAGUAAUCUGAUCAAUGGACCAAGUUACCCUAGGGAUAACAGCGCAAUCCCAUUUGAGAGUCCAUAUCGACAAUGGGGUUUACGACCUCGAUGUUGGAUCAGGACAUCCUAAUGGUGCAGCAGCUAUUAAGGGUUCGUUUGUUCAACGAUUAAAGUCCU